GAUAAUAAUUUGGUGAUAACAAAGGUCUAUCAAAGAAAGAUUUUGGUGUUUCCAUCAUUUUGAUUAUAGUGGGAGUUUAAUUGAGCAAGAUAAUCAUUUUUGAAGUUUUAACAUACAGCUAUUUGACAGACAUAAAAGCUGAAUUCCCUUUGCAAACAAAACUGCUACUAAAGAUAGUGCUACCAGAUUGCUGAUGGAGAAGGAAUCAGAAGAUUAUGUCUAUCAUUGUAUUGAUGAUAGCGUGCUACCUUUGAAACACUGAAUGCUCUGAAACGACUGAAAACUUGGAAAAGUUCAUGCAUGAUUGAGUGGGGAGAGAUUGUGCGGUCUUGCCAUGCUCCAUCUUCAUCGUGAUAAGGAUAUCAGCAGACCAAAUAUUCUGAAACCACCAUAGAAAACAUUGGCAAAGUCUACUGAAUCUAUGUUUGUUCUAUGUUCUGGCGACAGACUCAAAUCGAGAUUUGGAUGAUUAUCUUACAUAUAAAUUUAGAUAAAGUAUGAAAAAUUGAUAUAAAAAGUGUCCAAAUUUAAAAACAUUAUCAAACUCUCUGGAACUACCUAGAAUGCAGGAUU